GACGAACGCUGGCGGCGUGCUUAACACAUGCAAGUCGAACGAUGAAGCCGGAGCUUGCUCUGGUGGAUUAGUGGCGAACGGGUGAGUAACACGUGAGUAACCUGCCCUUGACUCUGGGAUAACUGCGGGAAACUGUAGCUAAUACCGGAUACGACCCUCGGAGGCAUCUCCUGGGGGUGGAAAGAAUUUCGGUCAAGGAUGGACUCGCGGCCUAUCAGCUAGUUGGUGAGGUAAAGGCUCACCAAGGCGACGACGGGUAGCCGGCCUGAGAGGGUGACCGGCCACACUGGGACUGAGACACGGCCCAGACUCCUACGGGAGGCAGCAGUGGGGAAUAUUGCACAAUGGGCGCAAGCCUGAUGCAGCAACGCCGCGUGAGGGAUGACGGCCUUCGGGUUGUAAACCUCUUUUAGCAGGGAAGAAGCCAAAGUGACGGUACCUGCAGAAAAAGCACCGGCUAACUACGUGCCAGCAGCCGCCGUAA
rnacentral:rRNA from 1 species